CCGUUUGGUACGCGGAGGACAUUACCGAGUUUACAACUCCCAAACCCAAUGUGAACGUUACCAAACUGUUGCCUCGGCGGGGUCACGCCCCGGGUGCGUAAAAGCCCCGGAACCAGGCGCCCGCCGGAGGAACCAACCAAACUCUUUCUGUAGUCCCCUCGCGGACGUAUUUCUUACAGCUCUGAGCAAAAAUUCAAAAUGAAUCAAAACUUUCAACAACGGAUCUCUUGGUUCUGGCAUCGAUGAAGAACGCAGCGAAAUGCGAUAAGUAAUGUGAAUUGCAGAAUUCAGUGAAUCAUCGAAUCUUUGAACGCACAUUGCGCCCGCCAGUAUUCUGGCGGGCAUGCCUGUCCGAGCGUCAUUUCAACCCUCGAACCCCUCCGGGGGAUCGGCGUUGGGGAUCGGGACCCCUCACCGGGUGCCGGCCCUGAAAUACAGUGGCGGUCUCGCCGCAGCCUCUCCUGCGCAGUAGUUUGCACAACUCGCACCGGGAGCGCGGCGCGUCCACGUCCGUAAAACACCCAACUUCUGAAAUGUUGACCUCGGAUCAGGUAGGAAUACCCGCUGAACUUAAGCAUAUAA
rnacentral:rRNA from 1 species